rnacentral:rRNA from 1 species
GAUGAACGCUGGCGGCGUGCCUAAUACAUGCAAGUCGAGCGAACAGACGAGGAGCUUGCUCCUCUGACGUUAGCGGCGGACGGGUGAGUAACACGUGGAUAACCUACCUAUAAGACUGGGAUAACUUCGGGAAACCGGAGCUAAUACCGGAUAAUAUAUUGAACCGCAUGGUUCAAUAGUGAAAGACGGUUUUGCUGUCACUUAUAGAUGGAUCCGCGCCGCAUUAGCUAGUUGGUAAGGUAACGGCUUACCAAGGCAACGAUGCGUAGCCGACCUGAGAGGGUGAUAGGCCACACUGGAACGGAGACACGGUCCAGACGCCUACGGGAGGCAGCAGUAGGGAAUCGUCCGCAAUGGGCGAAAGCCUGACGGAGCAACGCCGCGUGAGUGAUGAAGGUCUUCGGAUCGUAAAACUCUGUUAUUAGGGAAGAACAAAUGUGUAAGUAACUAUGCACGUCUUGACGGUACCGAAUCAGAAAGCCACGGCUAACUACGUG